CCUACGGGAGGCAGCAGUAGGGAAUAUUGCUCAAUGGGGGAAACCCUGAAGCAGCAACGUCGCGUGGAGGAUGACGGUCUUCUGAUUGUAAACUCCUUUUGUUAGAGAAGAUAAUGACGGUAUCUAACGACUAUGCACCGGCCAACUCCGUGCCAGCCGCCGCGGUACUACGGAGGGUGCAAGCGUUACCCGGAAUCACUGGGCGUAACGGGCGCGUAGGCGGGAUAGCAAGUCAGAUGUGAAAUCCUAUGGCUUAACCAUAGAACUGCAUUUGAAACUGUUAUUCUAGAGUAUGGGAGAGGUAGGUGGAAUUCUUGGUGUAGGGGUAAAAUCCGUAGAGAUCAAGAAGAAUACUCAUUGCGAAGGCGACCUGCUAGAACAUAACUGACGCUGAGGCGCGAAAGCGUGGGGAGCAAACAGGAUUAGAUACCCUUGUAGUC
rnacentral:rRNA from 1 species